GCAGCCCCUGCGCACCGAACAGUCACUGCAAGGGGUACACAGUCAGAAACAGAAGAAGUUGUAUCAGCUCUUUACUGGAUGUAGUUGAAAGGUCUUGGGGAUCAUUUUCUGACCAUGGUAUACAUAAUUCUUAGGAAAACAAGCUGGAUUGUUAGGAGAGCUACCGAAUUUCUCUGCAGAGGAACAGUGGUCUGACUGCCAUCAUAAACCAAAAGCACAAAGCAACAGUUCCUCUAAGAUACUUUACCUGAAAGGACUCUCCUCCUUUCUUGCCUGGAACUCCAAUGAAGGUAGUGAAGGUAGACUGUCCAGCUGUACUUCUCAGGAGAAGGCUCAUGCAGCUUCUGCUUCUGGGGUGGGAGGUCCCUUCUGGCACUGAGGACAUGGAGGAGGAUGGAUUCAGGGCCUCCCUGGACAACCUGCUCCAGUGCUUAAUUUCCUAUCCAUCAGAUCCCUCCAUCCACCCCAAAUGCUACAGGACAGACACUCUCUCUCCUCUUCUGUCUUCCUAGAUGGCAAGCAGGGGAUUCAGGGCCUUUGUGCUUUCAGACAGCAAAAUUUCUGCCCCAUUUUGCCAGUUUGCCACAUUAUUCAGGCUCUCUGUGAGUGCGUGCACAGCACCAGCAGAGUCCUGACACUCCACGAUGUUCAUUUCUGCCCUUUCUUUCUGGAAUGGGCCUUGUUUCCCAGCUGGUUGAUAUAUUCUAGGUGCUUUGGGGGAUGCAGUCAUUUAGGACGGGGACUCUGCCUUCAAACAGUUGACGUGACUGGCACACAGGAAGCAGCUGCAAAGGAUACGGCCGACUUAAAUAACACAGCAUGCACUCUGUGAUCACUGAGAGAAGUAGGGUCCAGGAAGACAGUGUGGGCUGGCAUUGCCAGCAAAGGGGGAUCAAGGUGAGCAAAAUAUGGGCGGGAAAAGAGACAGCCCGUGUGAACCAAAGUUAGGUCAUGCCUCGUGGGCUUAAAGGCAGACAUCCUCAGUCAAUGAUACAGAACAGGAGAAUGCUUCCUUCCUCCCAUCCUUCACUAAAUGUCUACCAAGUGCCAGACACUGAGCUGGACCCAGCCUAUGGGAGGGCCAAAGAAAGCCUGGUUCUCAUCCUGGAGAAGCUGACAAUCUAGUCUUGAGAAAUAGAGCAAAAGCCCAGAAAGAGCCCUCAUUCGGAAGGUCUGAGACUUUGCCAAAGCUUCCGUGAUGCUUCUUUCAGAACUUGGGAGGUAGUUCUAGGUCUCCUUGGCUAAUCUCCCCACCCCUUGCCUCUCUCUUCCCUGUCCCCAAACUGCAAGCUCUUAAAGACACAAACUGACUUUAUUUCGUCUUUAUUUCCUUCCAUGGAGUGCUUUCUCUGCACUGAUGUGCUGAAAUGCAUUGAGUUGAAAUCACAGCAGGAAUUUGGCUGUCCCCCUCCAGCCCCGGGUGGUGCACAUAUGUCCUCAGUAGAGGAAUCUUGGUUAGUAGCCCAGUGAAGAAUCCUCCAGUGGCUUGUCCACAGCCUGCAGAAUUCAAUAGUAACUCCUCUACUUGGCAUUUCCAGGCCCAUGUUCUACUAACUUUUUACCUUCCACCCUGAAGGACCCACUUGCUCUGAGAACAUCCCCUUUUCUGUGCCCAUGGUUGUAAUCAAACGGAUUCUUCCUCUGGGGCUCCCACCUCACCCCACCCCUGUCUCCACUUGUGAAAAUGUCAUGUAUUCUCAAAUACCAUUUGCCCGUGAAGACUUUCCUGACCUUUGCCACUGUCCAUGGACUCCUGGUCUUCUAAGAUUCAGUACUUUCUGCCUCUUUUGCAGUAUGGUUUGGAUUGAUAUCUUUGGGGAUAUGUCUGACCCCUUCCCCUGGAUUGUAAACCCUUUAGGGCAGUGUUUAAUUCACAUAUGUAUCUUCCUUAGCACUGACAGUGUAUGUGGCCCAUGGUGAGCACUCCGCACCUGAAAAAGAAGUUUUAGAACAGGUCCUGUAGACAUGGGAAGUGAGAAGCACCAGAGGUUUCUUUCUUGGCCUCUUUAUCAUUGUGUUUUCCUUAACCUGCUUCAGAAUUUCCAGGUCUCUGCCAAUUUGUCAAGCCCCAGGACUCAAAUGACAGUUCAACAAUCCCAAGGUAUGAGGGGAGUAUUGUCUGAAGGUGCCCAUAUACACCAGCACCAAUAGAAUAUGAACACACACACUCCUUUUAAGAGAAUGCACCCACAAUGACAGAUCCUACAGAAACGAAUGAAGUUAAUACAUCAAGAAAGUUGAAGGAAGCUGGAGAAAAGUUCUGGCCAUUCCAAGGAGCCAGGAGAGGGAGACGAGAGGAUUAGAAUGAAAGAGCACAUUUGUCCCUCCCUGGAGCAGGAACAGGAGCAGGAGCCUGUGCUCUGCCUCUGCUGCCUCAGGGCAGGAUUGUUCUUUGCACAGGGCUCUCUGUGGACUGCUGGGUCAGCAUUUCUUUCCCAGCUGGGCAAACUCCUUUCUCUCACUUUGCCACCUGCUCUACAGAACCACUCCUAGUCCAGCCCUUGCUCAGAGCAGUGGGGCUGCCCACUUAACCAGUCAAUGCCAUCUGAGCGAACCUCUUAUGCUCCAGGGUCAGCAUUAUAAGGCAACUCCCCGCAUGCCCCCCGCCACUCUGCUAAAGGAUUGUUCGGGAUACGUACAUCUGAAAGUGGUGCAAAUCAUUCAGUUAUUUCUUUCCAUCCUAGUAUUUUUUUAAAGCAGCUUUAUUGAGAUAUAGCUUAUGUACCAUAAAACUCACCUGUUUAAAUUGGACAAUCCAGUGGUUUUUAGUAUAUUUACAGAGUUGGGCAAUUAUCGCCACAGCCUAGGACGUUUUCAUCUUUUGACAAAGCUCCUAGCUUAUUCUCAUUUCCAACCCAUGCUGAGGAUAGCUGUUCUCCCAGGACUAAGCCAGCAUCAUGUUGAGUUGUGUGAAAUGGUCAUCUUUGUAGGGCAAACCCAGUUGAAUAUUGGCAAUUUCGUAUGAUUCGACCUAAUAUUCAGGCAGUUAGUUUUUAUUUUUGAGUAGGUGUUUAUUUUGAGAUUGGUGUUUCAGAAGGUAUUCCAUAGGAAACCAGUCAUUUCUCUCCAAACCCCUGCUAUGUAGUGCGUGAGGGUGAGAAAGAUGUGACUGGGAAGCCAAUGACUUGAGUGGUCAAGAUGCUGCACCUUGGUGGACCAGACCCCCUGCAUCUCUCCUUCCAGUGGAGAUUAAACAUUCAGAAUCCCGUGGUUGCCAUGCAGGGAGGGAAAUGAGGGGAGUGGGCUGAGGUGUGAGACAACCAGAAGUGUUGAGGGAACAUGACAAGGAGAAUCUGGUCCCUCUUUCAUAGGCAUUUACAUUUAAGAAUAUAUAAAUCUUAAAUACAGGGCAGGCCAAAUAAAUCACAUGGAUAGAGGAAAUCUGAUGUUCAGGCCUGCAGCUUGUGACCCUAUCCUAGAAGAUGGAUGUUCAUGGCACAGACAGGUGGCUCAGAACAGGGGAGGACAAGAUAUUUAACACAGUAGAACUAUGAACCCAGGGAGAAAGGAGCCAACACCUCACUGCCAUCCAUGUUGUAGAGUUAUAGAUGAUUCAUCCUUAUUGCUAAAGAUUCCAUUGGGAGAAUGUUACAAUUUAUUUCUCUAUUUUUACUCUUGAUGGGGAUGUGAAUUGUUUCCAGAUUUUGUCUGUUACAAAUGGUGUUGCCAUGAGCAUUCUUUCUUCCAUGAAGAAUGCUUGGGUUUACUGACAACUGGAGGUGCUAGGUCAUUGGGUCUGCUUAUGUUCAACAUUAAUAGAAAGUGCCAGUUUUCCAAAAGGUGGAACCAAUAUAUACCCGUAUCAGCAGUGUAUGAGUGGCAAUAGCUCCACAUUCUUGCCACCUGAAUGCUUUCUGAGCCACUGAAUUAACCGAACCUAAAACUGUCUACUUCCAACUUGAGUGUUUAGGCAAUGGCUAGUCAGAGUUUCUGUUACGUGCAGCUCCGAAUUUUCUGCUAAGGCACUCUACAAGGGCAAGCCAGCUUCCUUUCCAUCUAGGGCCCGGCAGAAUGGCUCCCACAAAGAAGGGUGGCGAGAAGAAGGGCCGUUCUGCCAUCAACGAGGUAGUGACCAGAGAAUACACCAUCAACAUUCACAAACGUAUCCAUGGAGUGGGUUUCAAGAAGCGUGCCCCUCGGGCACUCAAAGAGAUCCAGAAAUUUGCCAUGAAGGAGAUGGGAACUCCAGAUGUCCACAUUGACACCAGGCUCAACAAAGCUGUCUGGGAAUAAGGAAUGUUCAAAGGAAUAAGGAAUGUUCCAUACCGUAUCCGUGUGCGGUUGUCCAGAAAACGUAACAAGGAUGAAGAUUCACCAAAGAAGCUCUACACGCUGGUUACCUACGUACCUGUCACCACUUUCAAAAAUCUACAGACUGUUAAUGUGGAUGAGAACUAAUCGCUGAUUGUCAAAUAAAGGUAUAAAACUGCAAAAAAAAAAAAAAAAAAAAAA
rnacentral:lncRNA from 1 species